rnacentral:rRNA from 1 species
GAUUGUAAGGAAUCGUACCCCAAACCGACACAGGUGGUCGGGUAGAGAAUACCAAGGCGCUUGAGAGAACUCGGGUGAAGGAACUAGGCAAAAUGGUACCGUAACUUCGGGAGAAGGUACGCUCUUGAUGGUGAAGUCCCUCGCGGAUGGAGCUGACGAGAGUCGCAGAUACCAGGUGGCUGCAACUGUUUAUUAAAAACACAGCACUGUGCAAAAUCGUAAGAUGACGUAUACGGUGUGACGCCUGCCCGGUGCCGGAAGGUUAAUUGAUGGGGUUAGACU